GACUACAGUGGCACAAUUGGCUAGCGCGUGAGACUUUUAAGCAGCCCUGCUCUAAAGAUCAUCUCAAGGUUGAGAGUUCGAGCCUCUCCGCGGGAGCU